CAGGAGAGUAAGAUGCCAUCCUAUCAGUUAGUAAGUAGGGUAAGGGCCUACUUAGACGAAGACGGGUACGGGGAAUGAGGGUUUGAUUCCGGAGAGGGAGCCUGAGAGAUGGCUACCAGGACCAAGGUCAGCAGCAGGCGCGAAAAUUAUCGAAGCCCGCCUAGGGGCGAUAGUGAGGAGACGUGUAUAACGAAGUACGUGUAAAGAACGUGCUAAUAACUGGAGGUCAAGUCUGGUGCCAGCAUCCGCGGUAAUUCCAGCUCCAGGGGUGUCUAUGAUGAUUGCUGCGAUUAAAAAGUCCGUAGUCAAUCUGACUGACUGGCCUGCAAUGUGAUUGAUUAAAGAACGAGCAGGGUUAGGAAAGCAGAGAAUCAGGAGCGACCGAGGGCUAGAGUAUUGAAUGGCGAGAGGUGAAAUUUGAUGACCCAUUCAGGAGUGACAAAGGCGAAGGCACUAGUCAAGGGCGAAUCCGAUGAUCAAGGACGUAGGCUAGAGUUUCGAAAACGAUUAGAGACCGGAGUAGUUCUAGCAGUAAACUAUGCCGACGCCGUGGUAUCAUUUUGGUAUUGCGGAAGAGAAAUCAAGUAAGGCUUUGGGGAGAGUACGCGCGCAAGCGAUAAAUUUAAAGGAAAUUGACGGAGGAACACCACAAGGAGUGGAGUGUGCGGCUUAAUUUGACUCAACGCGGGACAGCUUACCAGGCCCGAUAAUCGAGCGAGCGUAGUACGCGAUAGGUUAAAGAGUGGUGCAUGGCUGCUAUCGACAGUUGGGGUGACCUUAGGGUUAAUUCCGGCAAGUAGUGAGACCCCUGCAGAUAGUGGACAGGUAUUUUUAAAAUACAGGAAGGAAGGGACAAGAGCAGGUCAGUGAUGCCCUUAGAUGGCCUGGGCUGCACGCGCACUACAGUGGUCAUUAUAAGUAGAAGUU
rnacentral:rRNA from 1 species